rnacentral:tRNA from 1 species
GACUAUCUAACUUUUAGGAAAGUAUGUGUUUUGAAAACAUAAAAAAAGAGUUCGAAUCUCUUGAUAGUCU